CCGAGAGCAUUCUGUUUUAGAAUUAUACUGGAGUAUCGGUUCUCCCCUGUAUGCUACCGGUACUCAAUACUAAAAACCUAAACUUUACAGAUUUCAAUGUCAAAACUCUGCUCUCGCGUCGCACUGAGUCUGUUUUGUGUCCAUUUCGCGCCAAAAUGACUCUGACUUGUCCCGACACUCUCCAGAUGUGUCAACAAGCCUCAGAUGCUGAGAUCCACGAGUAACCAAAACCAGGGAUACUACAACUCAUAAGAUUAUAGUAGUCAUAAUCUCUAUGUAUAUACACAAAUGCACAUACUAGUGAAAGGGCCCGCGCUUUGCAUCGGGUAGAAACUGCAGGAAUAUUAAUAAUAAGCAACCAUCAAAUAAUGUCUUGUGUACCUUACUAAUCAGACCCACCAAAGGUCCCUCAUUGUUGGUGGUGGGGAUGGGCUUGAUGAUGCCUUCUCUGGUGACGACGAUAGUGGCAGCAACAACGAUCUUUUCGGCUGCGGCAGAUGGGGAAGAUGGGCGCACAUUAGUUAGAGAGAGGUAGGAAGGGAGUGAGGCGAUGGUGUGUAGAGAAGACAAUAAGUGGGAGAGAAUUGAUGAAUUAAUUGGAGAUGGAGGUGAGAAUUAUAUAUGGCAGUGGACUAUUUUGGUGCAUUAAUGAGAAGUCUGAUGCAGGGAAUGGUGAUAAUCGUGAUGAAUUAAUUGGAGAUAGAGAUGUGAGGAUUUUAGAUGGCAGUGAGACCAUUUAAAUGUAUUAAUUGGAAGCUUGAUAGUGAAACCAUUUAUAUGCAUUAAUUAUAUGCAUUAAUUGAAAGUUUGGUGGAG
rnacentral:lncRNA from 1 species